UACGGGAGGCAGCAGUGGGGAAUAUUGCACAAUGGGCGCAAGCCUGAUGCAGCCAUGCCGCGUGUAUGAAGAAGGCCUUCGGGUUGUAAAGUACUUUCAGUCGUGAGGAAGGUGUUAAGGUUAAUAACCUUAGCAAUUGACGUUAGCGACAGAAGAAGCACCGGCUAACUCCGUGCCAGCAGCCGCGGUAAUACGGAGGGUGCGAGCGUUAAUCGGAAUUACUGGGCGUAAAGGGCACGCAGGCGGUUAAUUAAGUUGGAUGUGAAAUCCCCGGGCUUAACCUGGGAAUGGCAUUCAAGACUGGUUAGCUAGAGUCUUGUAGAGGGGGUAGAAUUCCAUGUGUAGCGGUGAAAUGCGUAGAGAUGUGGAGGAAUACCGGUGGCGAAGGCGGCCCCUGGACAAAAGACUGACGCUCAUGUGCGAAAGCGUGGGGAGCAAAACAGGGAUUAAGAUACC
rnacentral:rRNA from 1 species